rnacentral:misc_RNA from 1 species
GCGUUCCGCAGCGCAGCCAGCCAGCAGCAGAUACGUCAACGUUGCGCGAUCUCGGGAAAGGAAGACGAAAGAACAGACAGCUUGCGGAGUAGUGAAAAAAGCCCGAUAAAAGUGCAGUUUUUACGGGUUAAAGUUUUGUGCAAUCUACCUCCAGCUAGUUAGAGGUCACCCGGAAGCAGACCGACCGGAAAUAUGGAGCCCUACGAUGUGAUAGUCAACCAGCCAGUUGUGAUCGACAAUGGUUCUGGAAUGAUAAAGGCCGGCUUCGCCGGAGAUCACAUCCCGAAAUGUCGCUUCCCGAAUUACAUGGGUCGACCGAAGCACGUGCGGGUGAUGGCCGGUGCGCUGGAGGGAGAUGUGUUUGUGGGACCAAAGGCAGAGGACUACCGUGGGCUGUUGAGCAUCCGUUAUCCGAUGGAGCACGGUAUCGUGACGGAUUGGAACGAUAUGGAGAAGAUCUGGACGUACAUCUACAGCAAAGAUGAGCUAUCCACGUUCUCCGAGGAGCAUCCGGUUCUGCUGACGGAGGCGCCCCUGAAUCCGCGGAAGAAUCGUGAGAAGGCCGCGGAGAUAUUCUUCGAAACGUUCAACGUGCCGGCGCUGUUCGUGUCAAUGCAGGCCGUGCUCAGUUUAUACGCGACCGGUCGCGUUACGGGAGUCGUGUUGGACGCUGGCGACGGCGUUACGCACGCCGUCCCGAUCUACGAAGGUUUCGCGAUGCCCCACAGCAUCAUGCGGGUGGACAUUGCCGGUCGGGACGUAACCCGCUACCUCAGAACGCUCAUCCGCAAGGAGGGCUUCAACUUUCGCACAACGGCCGAGUUUGAAAUUGUCCGGUCGAUCAAGGAGAAGAUCUGCUAUUUGCCGACGAUCCCGCAGAAGGAGGAAAGCGUAGACACGGAGAAGGUCAAGUUUACGUUACCGGACGGCAACGUGCUGGAGGUUGGCCCGGCGAGGUACCGCGCACCGGAAGUGCUCUUCCGUCCGCACAUGCUCGGCGAAGAGUGCGAAGGUAUUCACGAAGUGCUCAUGUACUCGAUCCAAAAGUCCGACAUGGACCUGCGGAAGAUGCUGUACCAGAACAUUGUCCUGUCCGGUGGUUCCACGCUGUUCAAGGGAUUCGGCGACCGGCUGCUGUCCGAGAUUCGAAAACAUGUCGCCAAGGACAUGAAGAUUAGGAUCGCCGCCCCGCAGGAGCGUAUCUACUCGACUUGGAUGGGCGGUUCGAUUCUCGCAUCGCUCGACACCUUCAAGAAGAUGUGGGUCUCGAAGCGCGAGUUCGACGAGGACGGCCAGCGGGCGAUUCAUCGGAAAACGUUCUAAAUCGCGCAAUCUUACGAGCAACAAUACACAAAUUCCCUCAAAGGCACACACACACACCUACAACACCUAGAUUAACUCACGAAACACUCAACGUACUAGGCUCGUGGGCACACAUUCGCAAUCAAUCGGCAGCAGGAAAGACGUGUGAUCCCGUUGAUCUGCAUGGCCGCUACAAUGUCCUUUUGAAUUUACUACCUUCGAAAUUAUUGAUUCCGUACAAUGGAUGCGUGUGAUUCUAACAGAUUAUUAUGCUUUUCGUGAAGACACACACCCUACAGGGGAAAAACGCGACACGAAUCGCUUUCUCUAAGAUUUAGUAAGUUAUAAUUUAAUAAUUUAUACUUAACAAAGGAAAAGAUUGAAAAGAACAAAAAAAAAAAUCAUAAGGUAAUCUAAACUAAUAUAGAUAUUAUGUAACAAAAAGUGGAAACGAGACAGAUUUUGAAACGAAUCAGAUUAUGAUAAUAACACGAGGAGCGUGCAAAGUGAGCGAGUUCCAGGAAAGAGGAAAAUAUAUAUCAGAAAAGAAACAAA